CCCUCCUCCCCAUCCUCCCUUCUCACCCUCUUCUCUCCUUCCUCUCCCUCCUCCCCUCCUUCCCUCUCGUCCUUCUCCAACAGCUGGGACUUUCUCUAAGGUGAACUGGUAAGAAUUACAAACAGAAAAGAAAGAACAGAUUCCAGCUCAAGUACAAAAGCUUCGUGUUCUUCUUGAGAUAUUCUUACCAAAAUUUAAUUGAUUUUCUUGAAGAAGUGGUGUUCCUUCGUUUGCUGUAUUCCCUUAGUACAAUUAUGGCAGAGUUUAACUUGUUUCUUUUAAUUUGCUUUUCACCCCUGGGGCUCCUCUGGCCACCGUUCCUGGAAUGGAGCUCUGGGGUCCUCAGUGCUUGGAAACUCUUCUUAGUAUCAUGGCAAUACGCAAAGCGGGGGACACUGUAUCUGUUGGGAUCUAACGAGGUAUGGUUGCUGGAGACACAAAUCCAGUUAUACCACAGGCAGAACUGUACUGGCACAGGAGUGAGACAGUAGCCAUAGCUGGCCCAUACUAUGUCAUGGCUGAGGCCUGUGCCUUCCCCUUUCUAGUUAGCUUUAGCUGUCAACUUGACAGAGCCUACCUAGAGUCAUCUGAGAAUGGAGUCUCCACUGAAGCAUUUCACAGAUCAGAUUGGCCUCUGGGCAUGUCUAUGGGAGUUGUCUUGAUUGGUGAUUGAUUUGGGAGGAACCAGCCCACUGUGGGCAGCACCAUUCCCUGGGCAGGCGAUCCUGGCCUAUAUCAUAAAGUUAGUUAAGCAUGAGCCUUUGAGUGAGCCAGCAAACAUCAUCUUCCAUGGUUUUUGCUUCAAGUUCCUGUUUGAGUUUCCUCUUUGAUGGAUGGUGACCUGUAGGUGUAAAUCAAAUACAUUCUUUCCUCCCUAAAUUGCUUUUGGUCAUAAUAUUUGUUACAAUAAUAGGGUGGAGCUGAAACAUUUCUUCUCUCUUGACAUGGCUCUUUUCUGUGGAGACCUCCUUCUCGGAUCAUGAUAAGUCACUUCACAUAAGUGACUCCAGGAUUCCUGUAGGAGCUUUACAGGCCAGGAAGGAAGAUAUUUUUUGUUGGUUGGUUGUUCUCAUUAUCCCAAUCUCAUGGAAGACUAUUGUCUCAGUUAUUUUGUUGUUGUUGUUGCUGGGAUAAAACACCCUGACUAAAGCAAUUUAAAGUAGAAAUGGCUUACUCCAGCCCACAAUUCAAGAGUACACUCUAUUGUAGUGAGUAGUCAGGAACUUAAAAGCAGCUCAACACGUCAUGCCCACAACCAGAACCAGGAAGUACAGUGAGGAUGGAUGAAUGGCCUCUACUCCGUUCCCUUCCUCCUCUUCUGUAGAUCAGGAGCUCAGCCAGAGAAUGGUGUCACCCACAGCAGGGAGGUCUUCCCACCUCAACUGAUGACGCCAAGAAAAUCCCCCAAGUGUUUGCACAGAGACCCACCUCUCAGGUGGUUCUAGAUUCUGUCGAUUAAUGCUAAAUACCACACACACUGAUUACACCACAUGUGCACUCCCUGGAUAAACCACUGUGGCUAGGGAAUGGGUACCAGCUGUGGACUGUGAACCCUCCCCUGUAGCUCUCUGAGUGCAGACUAGAUGUGGUGUACUCACCCAUCAAAGUUACAUCAGGCCCCCUCGGUGAACAAAAGAGGGAAUCAGGUCAUCCCAAGGACCCUCAUUUUUUCCUGAUUAAAAAAAUACAUAUAGCGGGAAGAUGACUCAGUUAACCUCCGUUCUUGCAGAGGACCUGGGUUUAGUCCCCAGGACCCACAUGGUGGCUCACAAUCAUUGAUAACUCCAGUUCCAGGAACUUGGAUACCCUCCUCUGGUCCCCCCCACCAGGCAUCAUGUAUAAAUGUGGCGCACAUAACAUACAUACAGGCAGAACUCUCAUAUACAUAAAAUCAAAUCAUCUUUAAAAAAUACUUGUAGAUAAGUACAUGUGCAAUUUUACACAUGCAACAGUCCCUCCCUUACCAAUGUUUUGAUUGAUGAGGUCCUAUUCUAUACACCCAUAUAAAAGUGGGGCAGAUGGAGCCUGCCUAGAACCCCAGUUCUCAGGAGCCCUGGAACAAAUAGGCUGCUUGACUAGCCACAUAGUCAGUGAUGAGUCCAAGUGAGAGACCCUCCUUCAAUGCGUAAAAUGGAGACACGAUCAAGGACGCCAACCUCUGGCAUCCGCCGACACACGAAAACACAUGUAUGCUCACAUACAUACCAUAAACAGGAAAAAUGAGACAAUGAUAGAUUUGCAUUUGGCUCUUUGCCCCAGAUUAAGCAACAGUGAACCACGGUUCUCGUCAGUCACAUGAUCACAAAGGGACAGAGCCCGCACUCCAGGCUGUUUGGUAGGCUUGAUAUAUAGUUUCAUGACGUAGAGCAGUUUCAGAGGGGUUAGUUGGGCUCCACUGUGGGCAGAGGAGCAUCUGCAGUUAAUCUGUGUGUGCUCUGAGUCGCACUGAUGUACUCAGAACUUAAAAAUCACACUUCCGAAGAGCCAUCUCUUUGCCAUCUCUUUGGACUGCGCUCCUCCUGCAAAACUGAAUGAGCACUUCCCAAAAACUGAAAUAAAGUCAGAGUAUGCAAGUCAAAGAAAGAGCACGUUUGAAUUGUGCCCAAGCAGUAAACUUCUCCAAGGAGACUGUGGUCAUUGGACCUUCAUAAAUGGAAACUGCAGAGUGGCCUCUGACACGGCGAUUUUCACAUCGCCUUUUGAGCUUCAGAUUGCUUUUGACUCUCUGGAUGACACUGAGGCUGAAAACUCUGACUCACAGAGAUGCAGAAUAACAAACCCAACUCGCCAAGCCCUGCUGGACGAUGUGAAUCGUUCUGGGUUGACCUGAUGCUACCUCAUUUUCUGCAAGCCCGAGUGAGCUCUUCUCUGGCGUUAUGUGCCUGAAAAGGGCUGGCUGGGGCAGCAGGCAUCAGCUGCUCAUCUGUGGUAUUUCUACCUCACAUGCUGUCCCUUUGGACCAAACAACAAGGCCUACAGAGGCAUGUGACCUCUGUUUUUACAAUGUUCAUAUCCUGAAUUGUAUAAGAAAGCAGACUGAGCAAGCCAGUAAAAAGUGCUCUUCCAUAGCCUCUGCUCCAAUUCCUGCUCUGCUUAAGCUCCUGCCCUGAUUUCCCCCAGCGAUGGACUUGUUACCCGGAAGUGUGAGAUGAAAUAAACCCUUUCCUCUUCAGGUUGCUUUUGCUCACAGUGUUUCCUCACAGCAAUAGAAGCAUAACAAAGACAGGGACCAAUCAAUACUCAUGUCAAGUCUUUGCAUCAUGUUCUACCACGGUUGGGUUUCCUCUUCUACCUUAAACUGGAGAUACUCUCCUGGGAAACUUUCACACUGAAACCCACAACCCGUCACCAAGACUGUCCUCUGCUUAGGAGGGUAGAACCCUGAGUUCUUCUUCUGUUAACUGGUGAAACUUCUAGAAGUAGUGGAGAGGUUAGAUUCCAAGUAGGACCAGUUUUCAGGUGUCCAUAGCAAUUGACCAAGGUCUCUGUUGGUUACUGUUCUAGCACUGCUUGAAUAAAGUUACAAAGGCCAAUACUCUGAGGGAUUCUUCCCUUCCCCUUGGCAUGUGCCACAAGAACUCACCGGGGCAUGGAAUCGUGGCUUGUCAAACGUGAGCAUGGCAACAUCUUUCAAAGUUUCUAGAAAAGACCCACUGACUGUUGUUUUUUUUUUGUUUUUUUGGGUUUUGUUUUGUUUUGUUUUUUGAUGAUACCAUCUCCUCAACCCUUUGUCUUAAUUUGUUUUCGGUUGCUAUAACAAAGAUGCACAGGACUGGGAAGUCUGUAAGGGGUAGAAGUUUAUUUCCAUCACAGUUCUGGAGGCUGGGAGUCCUAGAUUAUAGUGCUGGCAUCCAUCAGUGUCUGGUGACGACUUGCAGCUACAACAUAACGCAAUGGGGAGAGAGCUGAGUGUGCCAGCUGAGGCACCUCUUCUUUUAAAGCCACCGUUAUCAGUAUGGGGGCACCACCCUCAUCACCUCAUCUGAUCCUAAUAAAGGCCCCAUGUUCACAAUGCCAUCAACAUGUGAUUUGGAUAACUAUGAUUUAUCCACGUGAACUUGUAGGGAUCGUGUUCAAAUGGCAGUGACCUCUGGCCAGCGGUCUCUUUCAGUAUAACACUCUCUGGCUCUUUUUUCCUGGGACCAGUGCACUUCUUCUUCUGGACCCCCUCAUCCCAGCUAGGACCUGCUCCACGGGGAAGCCAUCGUCUUGCUAACCUUGCUAAUAUCUCCCCAUACCUUGCCUAGCUGCCUCAUCUUGAUGCAGACAUCCAUUCUUGCAAGUGCUCUGGCUUAAUGACAUUUGCAGGACAAGCUGGAAACUGAAAGCUUCCACCAGCUCUGUACUGUUUCAGGGGAGCCCCUCUGUCCCUCUGCUGGUCACAAUGGUGGCUGGUGGCCGUCACCAGGGGCCCCAUCUCAUUUCCUGUCCAGGCAACUUUCCCUGUCUUUCCUCUUUGUAUUCCUCUAACAUCUCGUCAUCUUUACCCAUCCCUGUGACUUCUCUUUCCUAUUGGCACAGACACAACUCUGAAUGGUCACUGUCUCCAUUCAUCUACAUUCCUCAAAUCCCGUGAGUCUCAGAAGCAUUUCUGUAGACAUCACCCUGCCCAAGCCAUCUUCUUCAAGGUCACUCAUGACGCCGCUAUUAAUGAAUCCACAGUCUGGUCCUCACCAGUUAUUCAGGACAUGUAAUGAGGCCGCCUCUCCUGCCUGCAUGAGGAGCUUGGCACUCAUUAAACUUUCUUAGGCCCUAACCACUGUGCUCUUCAUUUGACCUCAGUUUCCCAUGUCAUCUCCCUUCUUCCCACCUUUGGAGUGUUGGCACAUGCCUGGGCAUGAGCCCCAGAACUCAGUUUGUCACUCUGAGAAAUGUUUUAAUCAGAAAUGAAAGUCUUUAGUGAUGGCUCUCUGAACACAAAUACAUCUGAGAGUAAUAUGCAAGAAAUAUGGCUACCCAAGCCUCAGGACUUGAGUUUGAAUCCAGAACCCUGUGAGAAAGCCAGGACUGAUGGCAUACGCUUAGUCCCAGUGCUGGGCGGGCAGGGGCAGUUGAAUCUGUAGUGGAUUCUAGGCCAGUGAGAGACCCUGUAGACUGUACCUGAGGAGUGAUACUCAAGGUUGAUCUCUGACCUCUGGCCUCCACACACUUAAUAAAAUGUACAAGUAGGCAAAUGUAUUGGUCUUUCAAAGUUCAUGAGAGCCUGACCACUCCUCAGCAGCUCCACCUCUCCAUCACUGGGCCUAGCCACCGUCAUCAUCUUUCCAGUGGCCUCUCCCUACUUCUUCCUACCAGUCUCUUCCCCUCUCUGCCCCUUUCUCCUCCCUGCCUAUCCUAAUCAGGGAACCAUUCCUUUUUUCUCUAACAGCCUUAGUAAGAUAUAAUUCAUAGCCAAUCAAUUCCCCCUAAUGUAUACAAUUAAUCAAAAUAUCAAUGCUUUCUCAGAGUUUGUGACUGUCAUUAUGGUCACCUCAGUACUACUCCAAAAGUAACUCCCACAUGGUAGCUGUCAGCCUUCAUCCCUAUCUUUCUAUACCCUACUUCAAACUACUUCCUGUCUCUGCGGAUUUGCCUUUGCUGGGAUUUGCUAGAAACAGGAUCCUCUAUGGCGGGCGCUUAAGUCAGCGAUUCUUUGAUGCCUUCCAUGGAUCAUGUGUGCCUGAGCACUCAGACCCCCUCCAUGGCCUCUACUUCGGUUAAGAAGACAAUGUUUUUAUCAUGCACUAAACUGUGACGGUUAACGCUGGCAGCUUGACAGGCUCCAGAAUACUAAAGAGGCACAUCUGUGAGGGAUUUCUUGAUUAGGUCAGCUACAGUGGGAAGAUGCACCCUGAGUGUGGGUGGGACCAGUUCACAGUCUGGGAUUCAGGGCUGAACAAAGGAAAAAGCAACAUACAUAUUCUUUACUUCCCAAAUGCGGAUGCAACGUGAACAGACCCCUCAAGUUCCUGCUGCCGCCCCCAGUGACUUCCACUCAGAAUGUUUCUCUCUACUCAGGAACUCUGAGCCCAAAUCAACCUUUAAGUUGUGUUUGUCAGGGUACUUCAUCACCAUGAUGGGAAAAGCAACUAACGAACGGUCCCGGUGUGAUCCAGCCCGAGGCAUCUCUGACCCUGACACUGAGGUUUCUCCUCACCCGCCCGCCCUAUUUCUAACAUUCUAGGUUCCUCACCCUUCUUUCCACACCCUGCAUAGGCUUUUCCUUCUGCCUGGCAUCUCUUUCCUCAGAUGUCCCUAGGAUCCCAUCUCUCUACCCUCAACCCCACCCAUGCAAAUCUCUGAGCACCUGUCUGUCUGUCCGUCUGUCUGUCUGUCUGUCGCCUUUUGGUGAGGUCUGCCCUGAGCACUUCGGAAUCCUCCCAGCAUGCCUUUCCCCAGCCUGGCCUGUCGCUGCCACGCACAGGUCCUCUGUUCUUCCCUUUCUUCCUUCCCAGACAUCCCAUGUGUGUUCUGUAAGUGAAUUGUGGGAAGAUCUUGAGGUUUACAGCCCAGCCCUGCUUCCCGCUCUGCCCAGAAGUCAGCACAUUCCCACUGCCACAGUUGUGAGCUGCUUCUGCCUCCACACCUUACCCGACAUGGUGGGCCAUACCCUCAGACUGUGAGCCAAAACAAAUCAUUCCUCCUUUAAGUAGCCUCUUUCCAGGUAUUUGGUCACAGUGAUGAGGGAGGUAGCUAAUUUAGAGUCCCUGAUGAAUAUCCCUGGUUAUCAUCCCUGGGGCAUAUUCAGCUCCCAGUCAACAUGUAGUAGUAGCAAUUACUGGACGUGUGUCUUAGGAGGCCAAGCCAGCUCAUCAGAAAGACAUCUGCUUAUCUUUUCCCCAUCAUUCACAGUUACAAAAUCCAGAGUCAAGUCAGAUCCCAUGGGGAGGAAGGGCUAAAAGAAAUGCAGUACACAGAUACAGUGGGAUGUUAUUACAACCAUAAAAAAUGAAUCUCAUCGCUGUGGCAGCAUAGAUACAGAACAUCCCAGAGACUGAAUCAAACCAGACAUGGAAAGGGAAAGAUGAAAUUCUGUCACUCUGUGCUGAUUUCAGGUACCAGGGCACGGCUGCUCGUGCCUGCAACUCCAGCACUCGGGACUGAGCUGGGAGGACCAUGGUUUCAAAGCCAACCUGAGUUAGGUAGCAAGAAAGGGUCAAGGGGGAAAAGAAAAAAGGAGGCGGGAGGGAGAGUGAGAAAAGAAAAGAUUUCUAGAGUCUGGGAAAGAUGGGGAGGAAGAGAACUAGGUAGACAACAGUUACCAAAAUGGCCAGAAGUAUUCCUUUCUCUUUUUUUUGUAAUAUUUAUUUCUAUUUUAUGUGUAUGGGUGUCUCACCAGUAUGUGUAUGUCUCAUAUGUGUGCAGUGCCCACAGAGGCCAGAAGAAGGUGGUAGAUCCUCUGCAACUAGACUUACAGCCAAUGGUGAGCUGCCGUGUGGGUGCUGGCGACUGAAGUUGGGUUCUGGAAAAGCAACAAGAGAUCUUAACUGCUGAGCCAUUGCUCCAGCCCCCAUUGUUCUAGUAUAUUCUACAUCACAGGCAGGUAACCAUAGUUCACAACACCUUCUAUAUUCUAUUUACUUACUUUGCUGAAUUAGAGUCCUGCCAGACAGCCUAAGACGUUCUCAAGUUUAUGAUCCAUCAGCCUCAGCUUCCUUAAGUGCUGGUAUUACAGGCACGCACUACCAUGUCCAACCGUAUUAUACGGUUCAUAAAGAACUACAAUUUCACAGGUUCCCAACCUAAAGAAAUGAGGAAUGUUCAAGGAGCUGGCUGAAAGCCAGCAACCUUCAGCAAUACUUCCGUCUCUGCCCUCCCUGGAGCCUGUGUUUCAUGCAUGGGUGGGGCCCCCGACUCAUUACCUGCGUGCUGGACCAGAACUUGGGUCCUCAAGCCUGCACAGCAACCUGUACUGCAACCUCAGCGCCAUCUCUCCAACCCCCGGGGCGGAGAUUUUCUCUUGGGAUAUCAUGAGAAACCCAAAACGUUUCUGAGUUUGGAUUUUCUGGUUAGCAAUGCUCAAACAGUUCCUAUUCCAUGAGAUAAACGUCUCACAUUUCUCAGAGGCACAAUGCAAGGCUAGAAUAAAGUCCUACUUUUGGCGAACUGCA